rnacentral:rRNA from 1 species
AUUGAACGCUGGCGGCAGGCCUAACACAUGCAAGUCGAGCGAGCGGCGGACGGGUGAGUAUUGUAUGGGGACUGCCCGAUAGAGGGGGAGAACUACUGGAAACGGUGGCUAAUACCGCAUACUAUCGGAUAACCCAUAUGGGAUUAGCUAGUAGGUGAGGUAAUGGCUUACCUAGGCGACGAUCCCUAGCUGGUCUGAGAGGAUGAUCAGCCACACUGCGACUGAGACACGGCCCAGACUCCUACGGAGGCAGCAGUGGGGAAUAUUGCACAAUGGGCGCAAGCCUGAUGCAGCCAUGCCGCUUGUAUGAAGAAGGCCCUAGGGUUGUAAAGUACUUUCAGUCGGGAGGCUUUACCGACAGAAGAAGCACCGGCUAACUCCGUGCCAGCAGCCGCGGUAAUAC